rnacentral:rRNA from 1 species
UACGUAGGAGACGAGCGUUGUCCGGAAUUACUGGGCGUAAAGAGUGUGUAGGCGGUGCUCUAAGUUCGGUGUGAAAUCUCCUGGCUCAACUGGGAGGGUGCGCCGGAAACUGGAGUGCUUGAGCGUGGGAGAGGAAAGCGGAAUUCCUGGUGUAGCGGUGAAAUGCGUAGAUAUCAGGAGGAACACCUGUGGUGUAGACGGCUUUCUGGACCAUAGCUGACGCUGAGACACGAAAGCGUGGGUAGCAAACAGG